rnacentral:tRNA from 1 species
GUUUCCGUAGUGUAGUGGUUAUAACGUUCGCCUAACAAGCUAAAUGUCCCCGGUUCGUGCCCGGGCAGAAACA